AAGUGAUACUGCAGGUCAUCCCCAACAGAUGCAACAAGCAAUUUCUUCAGCUCCCGAUUGACCUAAAAGAAGACGACACUUAGUAGGUCCAGUUGCAACAUUCCUCAGUGAGAAACACAAAUAGAAACAAAGAAGACAUUCCAAACUGAUGCUUUUCAUUGAUGCUGUAAUUAACUGCUCUGAUCCCAUGGGUGAUGAAGUGGUCUAAAUAGAAUAAAGUAUAAUGAUCA